GACGAAGGAUGCAAGCGUUAUCCGGAUUCAUUGGGUUUAAAGGGUGCGUAGGUGGGCAGUUAAGUCAGUGGUGAAAUCUCCGGGCUCAACCCGGAAACUGCCAUUGAUACUAUCUGUCUUGAAUAUCGUGGAGGUAAGCGGAAUAUGUCAUGUAGCGGUGAAAUGCUUAGAUAUGACAUAGAACACCAAUUGCGAAGGCAGCUUACUACCCGAAUAUUGACACUGAGGCACGAAAGCGUGGGGAUCAAACAGG
rnacentral:rRNA from 1 species